rnacentral:lncRNA from 1 species
UUCCCCAAACAUUGCUUCAUCGGCAAAAGUAGUAGCUGUCAUUCCCCACGAUCUUCAUGCACUCUGGUCAAAUCUGACUUGAAUAUGUUGAAAAUCACAAAACAUCGAAGGACCAUCCACAAUUGGUGCAUGGGAGACCCAAUAGAAAAGGUACUAAUGAGUCUCCAUCCAAAAUUAGAGGUCUUUCGAGCAAAGGUCGAC